rnacentral:lncRNA from 1 species
AUGUAAUAUUAGAUUUUGAUAGAUCUCCAUUUUUCCAAGGAUGCAACAUCUCUAAAUGACAUAGUCCUUUGAGACAGCACAAUUGGAAAUACUCAUCAUAGUCUAGAGAGCAUACCAUACACCAUAACAUUUUCUACUUCUAAUCUAGGUAAAUGAGCCAUUUUCCUUAUUUGUUAUGGGAAAUUCAGGUGCAUUUCUUUGGGUGAUGCACACAUCAACUUUUAAAUUAUUCCCUCAGUGUUUUGAUUCCUAGCUGGCUGGCCAUGGACUCCAGAGAAUUGGAAUUCUUAGUCAUAACCCAUGAUGCUAGUUAGCUCAUUGUUACAUCAAGGAAGGAACUGAUAUAUACCAGAAUUAGAAGACAAAGCUUUCUGUUGUAGAUGGGGAAAGAGGCACCUCUAUCCCCUCUAUAGUUCCUGACUAUACCAGAACUCUCACCAGCAACUGUUUACUGUGAGCCACAAAGCAUAUAGGAAAUCAAGAUACUUGCUACAUUUUGGUAUUCUCUACUGCUGGUUUAUUUGUGAGGCUCAAGAUCCCUGGUCUGCACAUAUCCCUCUAUAUGGUGAGAUGCUUUCGUAAACUACCUCAUCACUAUCUUAUCGAAUAAGAGAGACACGUGCCACGCUGCAUAUGCU